CUAGGCUACUAUACUAUCUAUAGUACCGAGCUCCGGUACUAUAGUGUUUGUUUUCGAUCUUAGGGCGUUCAAAUCAACGAUCCACACCGUUAAAACUGAUCUAGAGUAUUUAAAGUUUCUAUAAAUAAAAUUUUAUAUUUUUUCGAAAUAGUUUACUUUAUUAUCAAACUAUUUCAAAAUUAUCAAUUUUCAAUGGCUAUUAUGACGAGUUUGGAAUUUAACGGUGUAGAAGAAUCUAAAUUUCUUCAAAUUUUGAUAGAAAAUACUUUAAACUAUAUAAAUCAAGGUUAACAUUCUUGAUCUUGAAUUUAAAAGUCCUAUACUCAAAUUUUAAAGAUUAUUCAAUUUUCACCGUCCAUUUUGAUAUAAUUUAUUUACUAAGUAAACGAUAUCGAAAAACACUAAAAUUUUAUUCCUAAGAAAUUCAUAUACCCUAGAUCAUAUUUAACGGUGCGAAUCGUUAAUUUGAAUGUCCUAAGAUCGAAAACAAACACUAUAAUACCGAAGCUCGGUACUAUAGAUAGUAUAGUAGCAUAUAUAUAUAUAUAUAUAUAUAUAGAAAAGCCAUA
rnacentral:lncRNA from 1 species